rnacentral:misc_RNA from 1 species
AACUAAGGCAGUUAUAUUUGGAGUAGCAAGGAGAUUUGCAAAAACUGGGAGGUUGUGAUCUGGAGAUUGUUUUGCAUCAUUGCUAUGAUGACAACCAAGUUUAUUGCUUCUGCAGUGAAUUGAGAAAUGGUUGGAGGAUGUUGAAUCUCCUAACUCCUCACCCUGAUUUGAAAUGGAUGGAAGUUUUGUGUUCAUUUUUCCUUAAGGUUGAGGUAUGGUGUGGCUUUAGAUCUGAAAAAUAGAAAAGAUCAUACAGCUGUAUUCAUGAAAUUUAGCAAUGUGAUGAAAGAAUCUCAAUAAUUUGUCGCCAAUAAUUUGAAUAAAUGAAAGGCAAACAUGUUCCUCCAAUUCAAAAUUUUGUUUGGGAAUUGGAAGUGUUUAGGUCAGAAACGAGGUGAAUUAAGCAACUAGUUUCUGUUAAUAUAAUAAUUUUGGUACAAGUUAAGUUGGACUAAUAAUGAAAAUUGCAGCCGUUUACCAUCUGAAUCUCAUGGCCUUUCGCUUGCUGGGUCGGUGACUAUAGCAUAUUGAGUUGAUUUUAU